rnacentral:rRNA from 1 species
GUGGGGAAUAUUGGACAAUGGGGGGAACCCUGAUCCAGCCAUGCCGCGUGUGUGAAGAAGGCAUUUUGGUUGUAAAGCACUUUAAGCGAGGAGGAGGCUACCGAGAUUAAUACUCUUGGAUAGUGGACGUUACUCGCAGAAUAAGCACCGGCUAACUCUGUGCCAGCAGCCGCGGUAAUACAGAGGGUGCAAGCGUUAAUCGGAUUUACUGGGCGUAAAGCGCGCGUAGGUGGCCAAUUAAGUCAAAUGUGAAAUCCCCGAGCUUAACUUGGGAAUUGCAUUCGAUACUGGUUGGCUAGAGUAUGGGAGAGGAUGGUAGAAUUCCAGGUGUAGCGGUGAAAUGCGUAGAGAUCUGGAGGAAUACCGAUGGCGAAGGCAGCCAUCUGGCCUAAUACUGACACUGAGGUGCGAAAGCAUGGGGAGCAAACAGGAUUAGAAACCCCGGUAGUCC